rnacentral:rRNA from 1 species
GGCUACUUACGGGACGCAGCAGUGAGGAAUAUUGGUCAAUGGGAGAGAUCCUGAACCAGCCAAGCCGCGUGAGGGAAGACGGCCCUAUGGGUUGUAAACCUCUUUUGUCGGAGAACAAAACCCGGGACGAGUCCCGGACUGCGUGUAUCCGAAGAAAAAGCAUCGGCUAACUCCGUGCCAGCAGCCGCGGUAAUACGGAGGAUGCGAGCGUUAUCCGGAUUUAUUGGGUUUAAAGGGUGCGUAGGCGGUCCGUUAAGUCAGCGGUAAAAUUGCGGGGCUCAAGCCCGUCGAGCCGUUGGAACUGG